rnacentral:rRNA from 1 species
CGUAGGGGGCAAGCGUUGUCCGGAUUUAUUGGGCGUAAAGAGCGUGUAGGCGGCUAGGUAGGUCCGUUGUGAAAACUCGAGGCUCAACCUCGAGACGCCGGUGGAAACCAUCUAGCUAGAGUCCGGAAGAGGAGAGUGGAAUUCCUGGUGUAGCGGUGAAAUGCGCAGAUAUCAGGAAGAACACCCGUGGCGAAGGCGGCUCUCUGGUACGUGACUGACGCUGAGACGCGAAAGCGUGGGGAGCGAACAGGAUUAGAUACCCUGGUAGUCCACGCUGUAAACGAUGGGUGCUAGGUGUGGGCGGUGUCGACUCCGUCCGUGCCGAAGCUAACGCAUUAAGCACCCCGCCUGGGGAGUACGGCCGCAAGGCUA